UUAUCUCUUACCAAAGCACGGUAAAAACAGGCUAAAAUUGAACUUCAUAUUGGUGAUGAGAACAAAGGGACAAACUACUGGAAAGCAUAUUUCUGUCAACGUAAAUAUAUUCAGUGCCCAUGGCACUGGAUAUUUGGAACAGGUCCUAAUGACAGCAACAGGGAAGACAAUGAAUAAGAGAUUACAAAUAUACAUAGAAGGUUGAGGAUAAUUUUUGAUGCUCUGUCUUCAGGUGAGACUUGCUGAAAGUAUUGAGCACUGUGAAUAUUCCUAACUUGUCUCUUAUGUUUGUAAAGGGUACUCACCAUGGAGACACUUGAGCAGGCCAUGAGACUUAGACAUAAGACAUCUGAGAAGCACAAUAAGAACAUAUAGAGUGCAGCUCCCACAUGAUCAGAAGUAAAUAAUGAACAGUAUUCAUAGUUCAACCUGUUAGUCACAUUUUCCUUGUAACUGGCCUGACACUCUUGCUGGUAUCAAAAUGUUUAGAAGCAGGUGGAAAAGCCAAGAGACUAUGCAGAAGGGACCAAUGUACUUGGUGGCUCUGUAUUUAAGCUUCAUCCACUUGAAGUUGCUGGAUCUGAUUGUGAUGGCUUGAAAACAACUCAAUAUGCAUGUGGCAUACAUGGACAUACCUCUUGUUAUUCGGGAAAUAUACAUGAUCAAUUUGCAUCCAAUGUCAUCCAGAAAAACAUUAAAUCCAAAAUAUGACAUUGUCCUUGGAAUGCCUCUUAAGAUGAUAGACAAGCAGUUGGCAAAAGUCAAGUGCUCUAUAAUCAAGUCAUAGGGCAGUAAAUGCUUUCCAAUGAAUAUCAAAAUGACAUGAUAAAAUAGUAUUGAGAAAUUGCCAAGCACUCCCACUAUAAUCUGGCAGAAGAGAAAAUUUCCCAUUGUAACGUUUUCAGAAAUCAUUUUCA
rnacentral:lncRNA from 1 species